UUACGAUCCAUUCAUUCUUGCUUCACAAGCUGACCAGGUUUGCUAUAUUCGUUAUCCGCGGAUUAGGCAAAGGAACGAUCCUUGGAUCGUUGUCAUGUCAAUAAAUCCCAGAA